rnacentral:lncRNA from 1 species
UGGGACUAGAGGCAUGCAGUACCAUGCCCAAUGACAAUUCCAAUUUUAAUUAAGCCCACAUUAUCAAUUCUUUCUUUCAUGGAUUUGUUUUGGAGCUGCAUUUAAAAAACUCAAUAUGAAACAUGGUCAUAAGUAUUUUCUACUACAAUUUUUAUAGUUUCACAUUUUCAAUGUAAGCCAUGGACUACUUAGAGUGAAUUUUGUGAAUCUGAUAAAGGUUUUCCCUGUCCAUUACUCCUAUAAAUUUUCUAAGCACUCCAUCACCAUCUGUGUAGCAGAUGCUCUUUUCUUCAUUGAAGGUCUUUUUCCUUUGACAAAAUUAGCACUCUGUUGGUAUGGGUGAGCUUUGGCCUCUCCAUUCAUCUCCAUUUAUCUCCCUGUGCAUUUCUUCACAACAUCACAUUUCCUCACUACUUCAGCUUUCUGACAGGUGUUGAAAUAUAGAUGUGUGAGUUCUUUGUCCUUCUGUAGUCUGUGUUAUCUAUUCUUGGUUCAGAAACAGUUUGCUGGAAAUUUGAGUGUGAUUGAGCUGAAUCUGCAGAUGAGGUGUGAGAGAAUUUCAUCUUGACUAUGUAGAGACGUGAACAAGAAAUAUCUCUAUUUAUUUAUAUUUUGUUUGAUUUCUUUCAAUUUUCCAAGGUUUUCUGAAAGCAC